AGAUCAACGAAAAACAUACGAAGCUAAAACGUCAAAUUACGGAGAAGCAGAAUACAACAAGAAAGAAUAUUCGCCACAAAGCUCAACUCAAAAGAAAAGAUGCGCUACUGGCGAAUUGUUAAAAAAUCCUUGGGAAACAACGGAAAUUCCGCCAUCAGAAAGGGAAUACGAUGACACGUCAGAGACGGUUAGUACUUUUAUAAGUAGCGAGAACGAUGAAGACGACAACGAAUUUAAGCAAACUGGAAAAGACUUCGAUGAAGAAAACGA